rnacentral:misc_RNA from 1 species
CAGAGAUCGUGCCCUUCGGGGUAGACCUCCCACCCUGUGUUAUUUACGCAUGUUGCUUUGGCGGGCCGUCCCGCGGGGCUUCCGGCUUCGGCCGGGGUGUGCCCGCCAAAGAACCCAUAAACCCUACGUAUUUAGUGUUGUCUGAGCAUUAUCAAAAUAAGUUA